rnacentral:rRNA from 1 species
CGGGACACGUGGUAUCCUGUCUGAAUAUGGGGGGACCAUCCUCCAAGGCUAAAUACUCCUGACUGACCGAUAGUGAACCAGUACCGUGAGGGAAAGGCGAAAAGAACCCCGGCGAGGGGAGUGAAAAAGAACCUGAAACCGUGUACGUACAAGCAGUGGGAGCCUCUUUAUGGGGUGACUGCGUACCUUUUGUAUAAUGGGUCAGCGACUUAUAUUCUGUAGCAAGGUUAACCGAAUAGGGGAGCCGAAGGGAAACCGAGUCUUAACUGGGCGUUAAGUUGCAGGGUAUAGACCCGAAACCCGGUGAUCUAGCCAUGGGCAGGUUGAAGGUUGGGUAACACUAACUGGAGGACCGAACCGACUAAUGUUGAAAAAUUAGCGGAUGACUUGUGGCUGGGGGUGAAAGGCCAAUCAAACCGGGAGAUAGCUGGUUCUCCCCGAAAGCUAUUUAGGUAGCGCCUCGUGAAUUCAUCUCCGGGGGUAGAGCACUGUUUCGGCAAGGGGGUCAUCCCGACUUACCAACCCGAUGCAAACUGCGAAUACCGGAGAAUGUUAUCACGGGAGACACACGGCGGGUGCUAACGUCCGUCGUGAAGAGGGAAACAACCCAGACCGCCAGCUAAGGUCCCAAAGUCAUGGUUAAGUGGGAAACGAUGUGGGAAGGCCCAGACAGCCAGGAUGUUGGCUUAGAAGCAGCCAUCAUUUAAAGAAAGCGUAAUAGCUCACUGGUCGAGUCGGCCUGCGCGGAAGAUGUAACGGGGCUAAACCAUGCACCGAAGCUGCGGCAGCGACACUAUG